rnacentral:rRNA from 1 species
GGCCGCGGGAAUUCGAUUAGAGUUUGAUCAUGGCUCAGGAUGAACGCUGGCGGUAUGCCUAACACAUGCAAGUCGUACGAGAGUUUUUAACUCUAGUGGCGGACGGGUGAGUAACACGUGAGAAUUUGCCUUUAGGAGGGGGAUAACAAUUGGAAACGAAUGCUAAUACCCCAUAUGCUUUUAAGUGAAAUGGAUUUUAUCCGCCUAGAGAGAAGCUCGCGGCUGAUUAGCUUGUUGGUAAGGUAAAAGCUUACCAAGGCGACGAUCAGUAUCUGGUUUGAGAGGACGAUCAGACACACUGGAACUGAGACACGGUCCAGACUCCUACGGGAGGCAGCAGUGGGGAAUUUUCCGCAAUGGGCGAAAGCCUGACGGAGCAAUACCGCGUGAGGGAAGAAUGCCUAUGGGUUGUAAACCUCUUUUUUCAGGGAGGAAUAAAAUGACGUGUACCUGAAGAAUAAGCAUCGGCUAACUCCGUGCCAGCAGCCGCGGUAAGACGGAGGAUGCAAGUGUUAUCCGGAAUCACUGGGCGUAAAGCGUCUGUAGGUGGUUU